rnacentral:lncRNA from 10 species
UCCUCUCUCUGGUGGAGGAACCAUUUGCAUAGGAAUAAGAGGUUCUUCCCCCAGGCAUCCUUAUCUCCUCUCCAACCCAUCAGCAGUAUACUUUUAAAGGAGGUUUUUCUUUUCCUUUUGGAAGACGUUUUGCUCUUUUGGGAAUGAUGAGGAUUACCGUUUAUAUUUUCUGUAAAGUUUUGUGCGAAAGGAUUUGUGAGGUAAGUCGUAAGCUGUAGCCAAUCUGUGUGUUUUGCAUGUCUUUCUGUAUGCUCCACAGCAAACUUCGCUGCAGGCCUCCAUCUUGUUUUACGUCCUUGGGGGCGUGGCCUGUAACCCCAUUGCAUAGCUUCGUUUAGCCCGGCAUGGCCCAGAUUCAUCCUGGCUUAGGGAAUGAGUCCUUUCUGGUUUGGUAUCUGUAUGCCCUUUCGCUAUUUGUCGAUUCCCCUGCCCUCCACCAACCACCUUGGAUUUUCCUUUCUCUGAGCCUUUAAGUAAAGUUUGAAAGCCAGAAAUAUUGGCCGCUUGGUGGAGCUAAAGUUAGAUAAUAAGGGUGUUAAAAGAAUUUUCUUAAGGAGUGCUCAGCUUAAUUAAAAGUAGAUAUCUAAGUUGUAAUUAUAUUUAUAAGGCCUUUAUGUUUUCCUUUUCUUG